GAUGAACGCUAGCGGCAGGCUUAAUACAUGCAAGUCGUGGGGCAGCAGGGGUAGCAAUACCCGCUGGCGACCGGCAAACGGGUGCGGAACACGUACGCAACCUUCCUUUAACUGGAGAAUAGCCCCUCGAAAGAGGGAUUAAUACUCCGUAACAUGUACAUGUGGCAUCACAAGUACAUUAUAGCUCCGGCGGUUAAAGAUGGGCGUGCGCCUGAUUAGAUAGUUGGCGGGGUAACGGCCCACCAAGUCUGCGAUCAGUAACUGGUGUGAGAGCACGACCAGUCACACGGGCACUGAGACACGGGCCCGACUCCUACGGGAGCAGCAGUAAGGAAUAUUGGUCAAUGGACGCAAGUCUGAACCAGCCAU
rnacentral:rRNA from 1 species